AGAACGAACGCUGGCGGCGUGCUUAACACAUGCAAGUCGAACGUGAUUCGGAGCUUGCUCUGAUGAAAGUGGCGCACGGGUGAGUAACGCGUGGAUAACCUGCCCUGGUAUCUGGGAUAACAUCUCGAAAGGGGUGCUAAUACCGGAUAAGCCUCCGGGAUCUUCGGAUUCUGCAGGAAAAGAAGGCCUCUAUUUAUAAGCUUUCGUAUCAGGAUGGGUCCGCGUACCAUUAGCUAGUUGGUGGGUAAUGGCCUACCAAGGCGACGAUGGUUAGCUGGUCUGAGAGGAUGAUCAGCCACACUGGAACUGAGACACGGUCCAGACUCCUACGGGAGGCAGCAGUGGGAAUUUGCGCGAAUGGGAAACCCUGACGCAGCAACGCCGCGUGAGUGAUGAAGGCUUUCGGUCGUAAAGCUACUGUCGAGGAGGGAAGAAAGUGGAACGUGGACUAAUA
rnacentral:rRNA from 1 species